rfam:Desulfovibrio piezophilus C1TLV30 complete genome
GGGGGCGCACUGGUUUCGACGGGGAUAGUUGAAGCCGAGGUUGCAGGUCGAGGUUGGUCGAUGGCCUCGUAAAAAUCGACCAAAAGAUAAUUGCAAACGACAAUUACGAAUACGCAAUGGCUGCUUAAUUGCAGAGUUGCACCUGACAACAUAGCUUGUCACGAUUCUUCUGCCGACGCCUUAUGAGCAGAAAGAAUCGUCAAAAUAUAAGGCUAGUGAUUUGGGUGGGUUUCUUCGGCCAAAUCAUGAAAUAAUAGGAGGACUAGCUCAGAGGCCGCUUGGUUCGUGGCAAUCCUCUGAGUGAAACUUGAAAUCGAGCCUAAACCUGUAGAAGCCUUGUGUUGAUCGUUCUCGGACGCGGGUUCAAUUCCCGCCGCCUCCACCA